rnacentral:rRNA from 1 species
UACAGGGGGGGCAAGCGUUGUUCGGAAUUACUGGGCGUAAAGGGCCAGUAGGCGGCCAACUAAGUCCGACGUGAAAUCCCCAGGCUUAACCUGGGAACUGCGUCGGAUACUGGAUGGCUUGAAUUCGGGAGAGGGAUGCAGAAUUCCAGGUGUAGCGGUGAAAUGCGUAGAUAUCUGGAGGAACACCGGUGGCGAAGGCGCCACUCUGGGCCGAAACUGACGCUGAGGAGCGAAAGCGUGGGUAGCAAACAGG